rnacentral:rRNA from 1 species
UACGUAGGGUGCAAGCGUUGUCCGGAAUUAUUGGGCGUAAAGAGCUCGUAGGCGGUUUGUCGCGUCUGCUGUGAAAACGUGAGGCUCAACCUCGCGCCUGCAGUGGGUACGGGCAGACUAGAGUGCGGUAGGGGAGAUUGGAAUUCCUGGUGUAGCGGUGGAAUGCGCAGAUAUCAGGAGGAACACCGAUGGCGAAGGCAGAUCUCUGGGCCGUAACUGACGCUGAGGAGCGAAAGCGUGGGGAGCGAACAGG